rnacentral:rRNA from 1 species
ACGAACGCUGGCGGCGUGCUUAACACAUGCAAGUCGAACGGAAAGGCCCUGCUUUUGUGGGGUGCUCGAGUGGCGAACGGGUGAGUAACACGUGAGUAACCUGCCCUUGACUUUGGGAUAACUUCAGGAAACUGGGGCUAAUACCGGAUAGGAGCUCCUGCUGCAUGGUGGGGGUUGGAAAGUUUCGGCGGUUGGGGAUGGACUCGCGGCUUAUCAGCUUGUUGGUGGGGUAGUGGCUUACCAAGGCUUUGACGGGUAGCCGGCCUGAGAGGGUGACCGGCCACAUUGGGAAUGAGACACGGCCCAGGCCCCUAGGGGGGGCAGCGGGGGGAAAUUUGGCAAAAGGGGGGGAAGCGUGAUGCAGCAACGCCGGGGGGGGGAUGAGGGCCUUCGGGUUGAAAACCGCUUUCGCCGGUGAAGAAGGGUGAGUGGCGGGAAUGGUAAAAGGAGCAGCGGCAGACUGCGU